AUUGAACGCUGGCGGAAUGCUUUACACAUGCAAGUCGAACGGUAGAGGGGGCAACCCCUUGAGAGUGGCGAACGGGUGAGUAAUAUAUCGGAACGUGCCCAGUCGUGGGGAUAACGUAGCGAAAGCUACGCUAAUACCGCAUACGAUCUACGGAUGAAAGCGGGGGAUCGCAAGACCUCGCGCGAUUGGAGCGGCCGAUAUCAGAUUAGGUAGUUGGUGAGGUAAAGGCUCACCAAGCCGACGAUCUGUAGCUGGUCUGAGAGGACGACCAGCCACACUGGGACUGAGACACGGCCCAGACUCCUACGGGAGGCAGCAGUGGGGAAUAUUGGACAAUGGGCGCAAGCCUGAUCCAGCCAU
rnacentral:rRNA from 1 species